rnacentral:lncRNA from 1 species
GAAAAGUGCAAAAUAUUGUCGCGAACAGACGACAUUGUGUUUCAAUAAUAAAUUAGAAACGUCGUCGAGAUUGACGGCGCCUCGACCAAUGAGAACGCGCGGAGCGGCAGCCGAGGCCAGUGUCGAGGCGCGCUCGCGGUCACGUGACGUACUCUUUGUGCGGAUCGCGUGCGUCGUGUAGUCGCUUCUGUCCGUCCGCGCGCUCUCUCCUCUCUCUCUCUCUCUUCCUCUCAUAUCUAUCUAUCUAUCUCUCUCUCUGUCAUCUAACCCUCUCGGUCCAUCUUUCGCUCUCGAUAUGGCGGAGAAAGCUGUCGAGGCUCCCGUGACCGCGACGAAGGAGUCUUUGGGAAAGAGCGCGAAGGACAAAGAGAUUGAGACACAAAAGAAGGAGCAGAAAGAAGAAGAAACGGCUGCAAAUGGCUCUGUGGCAAAGGAAGAUGCUGCUGUUGUUGAAAAAGAUGAAAAAGAUGGAAAGUCCAAAGUGACAGCCAAGGAUGGAGAGGAGAAAUCCCCGAAAAAGGAGCCAGAGAGAGACUCCCCAGUUAAACGCCCCUCCGAGUCAGACGAUGCUAAGGGUGAGACAAAGAAGCAGAAAACUGAAAACGGGGAAGCAAAUGAGGUGAACUUGCAUAUGCGUUACAAGGUGCUCCAACAUGCUGCACGUCGGGGCAGCGUUACGCCGGCACGGAAACAUCGGAUUCCACUUCAGAGUGAGAGAGCUCGGCUCCCAUCCGAGCUGUUCUCGAGAUCCUCAACCGAUAGCAUGGUCUGUGCUCCAUGAAGGUCUCCCAUACAAAUAAAAACAUGGCUCCACUCAUACAUGCUCCUGUUCCGUCGAAUUGCAAUAAAAUGUUGAUUAUUUCAAAGCACACCAAACUCGGUCUGAGAAGUCGGUGGUUCAAAUCUUGGCCGGCUCAUGUCAAAACCUAAAACUGGUCCGUGCUACUUCCUUGCUCGAGGUUCAGCAUUUAAAAGGACAGAGCAUGGGCAAACAAUGCUGGGAAGGCAAUGGCAAACCACCCAGUAUAACCCUUAUCAAGAAACUGCUUCCGUGACACCAACACGAAGUAAAAUGAGUAUGGAACAUGUUUUUGUUACUCGCAAAAUCAGAUUCUUCAAGUAUAUUGGUUUGUGGAUUGUUAUUUUGUGUCUGUUUGUCGCAGACAGGUCACUUUUAAAUCGAUCUUCACAAAACUUCAUCACAUGGUAGAGUUUGUCAUAAGGGAUAGAAGCCUAUUACUUUUGAGGUCAAAGGGUCAACAUAGUCCCAAAAUCAACAACUAAGGUGGUAUUUCUGAAAUCCUCAGUUUUCAUCUGAGGAACUUGAAAUUUGAGGAGGAUUUGUAUAUUUGGUCAUUGAAUUGAACCUACAAUUAUUUUGAAGGUCAAAUUUGUUUUAUGGAUUUUCCAAGUAUCGUGCUCUGCAUGACGUCUUCUCGUUUAUUUAUUCGAUGGUAGAUGCAGAUAUCACAAUGGAACUGGUGUACCAACCCCACCUCAGGUGCUCCUGGUGUGUCCCAACCCCACCUCAGGUGCUCCUGGUGUGUCCCAACCCCACCUCAGGUGCUCCUGGUGUGUCUCAACCCCACCUCAGGUGCUCCUGGUGUGUUCCAACCCCACCUCAGGUGCUCCUGAUGUCCCGUACCAGCUUGGAAGGGACACGUUGAGUGCGGAAAUCGACAAGACCUCACCAUUUCUCGAGUACUCGGGAUCAUCCACAACCCUCCUCCCUCGUUUUGGAGCACCAAAAACCCACACCUUUAGAGAAUGGCUCCUUGGAGCAAACCUGCUCACCCCAACUAAUCCCCUUCCCUCCUAUUGACACCACCUCCCCUCAGGCACAACAGGGGUCGAUGACCCGGUGGAUAAAAGAACAGAACAAAGCUGGUACAUCCCCAAAAACAUUUGUGCCCCCCUCUCUGGACCGUUUUCAAUGGGGAGGGAGGGGGCGGGGACACUUUUAACACGUGCCUCCAGUGUCUCGCCAGCGUUUCAGAUCAUGCUGAUUAUAUAUAACAAGAACCACUGAAAACAUCCUACC